rnacentral:rRNA from 1 species
ACAUCCAAGGAAGGCAGCAGGCGCGUAAAUUACCCAAUCCUGACACAGGGAGGUAGUGACAAUAAAUAACAAUGCCGGGCCUUUGUAGGUCUGGCAAUUGGAAUGAGAACAAUUUAAACCCCUUAUCGAGUAUCAAUUGGAGGGCAAGUCUGGUGCCAGCAGCCGCGGUAAAUCCAGCUCCAAUAGCGUAUAUUAAAGUUGUUGCAGUUAAAAAGCUCGUAGUUGGAUUUGUGGCUGUCUCGAGCGGCCUAGCACCUAGUGUUAGUGCCUGCUUGGGUCGCCAUCCUUGGGUGGAGCCUGUGUGGCAUUAGGUUGUCGUGCAGGGGAUGCCCAUCGUUUACUGUGAGAAAAUUAGAGUGUUCAAAGCAGGCUUAUGCCGUUGAAUAUGUUAGCAUGGAAUAAUAAGAUAGGACCUCGGUACUAUUUUGUUGGUUUGCGCACGAGGUAAUGAUUAAUAGGGACAGUUGGGGGUAUUCGUAUUCCAUUGUCAGAGGUGAAAUUCUUUGAUUUCUGGAAGACGAACUACUGCGAAAGCAUUUA